CUUCAUUCUCAUCAGCCAAAACGCCAUAGGAGGGGUUCUUUAAGCUGGUAUUUCAUAAUUUUUGCACCAAAUCCAGAAAAUUCAAAUCUGAAGCUAGAUCGAGGAAAGGAAAAAGUUCGGGAUUAGUAGAUUUUUAUAUACGAACAAGUAUCAAGUAUUAAGAGCUCGGAGGUAGGAUUCGGUCGGAGACACAUCACACUACCAGCUUCAACAUUUUGGUAUGUUAAGAACCUUUAUUUUGGAAUCAAUGACGUGUAUAAGUUGAUAAAGUAAAUGUUAAUGUGAAAUGAAUGUAAAGUUAGCCAUUGGUAUGGCUAUCAAAUCCUGGUUUUGGUAUGUAAUGAGGUUAUCUUAUGGAUAUGCCUAAAUCUUCUUGAAAAUAUGUUGAAUUGGAUUGGUUGAUUUGGUUUGAUAUCAGUGUAUAUUUUGGGCUUCGGAGGCCCAUCUAAGGGACGUCAUAAUAUGUUUCAAUAAAAGAAUAGUAUUUAACUCGUAAUAACAAAAAAAUUAAUUCGAAAAACUCUGGUAAUGCCUUAUACCCUAUUCCGGCGACGAAUAUUGGUAGAGGGUGUUACAUUUGUUGGUAUCAUAGCUACGAUUUAGCUGGUUCUUGGGCUGACAUAGCAAAUAUAGGAUUAGCUAUAUACGUCAUUUAAAUUAUUAUUGAUAGUGUGAUAUCUCCUGACCAUUUAAAUGUGUUUUUUUUAGUAAAUGUCUACUAACCGAGCUCAAUCCGAGGAAGCCGGGCGUCAUGCUCUGGCCCUAGAAAGGGAACAAAGAGAAGUUGAAGCUACUAGUAGUAGAAGGUCCGAGACAGGGGACCAAAGUGAAGAGGCUAAACUGGCUUUCUUUCAAAUGAUGAAUGAAUAGUUUAAUCAAUAUGUGAGAACUAACCCUGUAAUGCAGCAAACUCAAGCUCCUCUUUCUCCACCGGUUUUCGAGAUUCCACAGGGUACAGGUACUGAAUCUAUCAAAAAAGGGAAAGCUCCAGUUGAUAAAAUCAGAAAAUAUGGGGCAAAAGAAUUCAGAGCUGCAGUUGAUGAUGAUCCUGAACGGGCUGAGUUUUGUUUAGAAAAUACUACUCGAAUUUUGGAAGAAUUAUCAUGCACACCAGAAGAAUGUCUGAAAUGUGCUAUUUCACUGCUAAAAGACACAACUUAUCAUUGGUGGAACACUAAAGCUUCGGUAGUUCCGAAAGAAGAGAUUACCUGGGAGUUCUUUCAGAACGAAUUUAAAAAGAAAUAUAUCAGCCAGAGGUUUCUUGAUUAAAAAAGAAAAUAAUUUUUUGAGUUGAAAUAGGGCAAUAUAUCGAUAUCUGAGUAUGAAAGAGAACUUGUUCGGUGGAGUAAAUAUGCUCGGGAAUGGGUAUAAUCAAAAGCUGAGAUGUGCAAGCGGAUUAAAGAGGGACUGAAUAAAGAUAUCAAGUUACUGAUUGGAAUACUUGAAAUCCGGGAGUUUGCUACACUGGCUGAGCGAGCUUAUAAAAUAGAGGAAUUGAGUAAAGCGAAGAAAUAAGGUGAAAGGGAAGCUCGGGUUUUCAGCAAAAGACCGAUGGGAAAAUUUCAGUCAUCUUCUGUUACAAAGAAAUUAAAGAAGUACUCUGAUCGAUCUAUUUCUAUGACGGGCUAUUUUAGAAAAGAACGAGACUUUCAACGUACUAACCCGAGAUCUCUCAUUCCGUUUGUGACUAUAUGGGUAGUGUCAGCAGUCCUAAGCCGAGAUGUCAGUACUGUAAUAAAGCUCAUUUUGGAGAAUGCCGGCUGAAAAGUAGGGUUUGUUACCGAUGCGAUUCAUUUGAUCAUUUCCUCAGAGAUUGUCCAGAAAGGGGUGAAAAAGAAGCUGAACAGACAUCAAAGCCGAGUAAUCCAGUUUCGAGGGGUAGACCACCUCGACCAUUCGAUAAUAUCAGUGGUAGCCGAGAAGCUACGAAAGAUACUGCAGGCAGGCCUAAGGCACGAGCAUCUGCUAGGACAUAUGCCAUUCGUGCCAGAGAAGAUGCCUCAGCACUCAAGUUAUUACUGGUACAUUUUCUUUACUUGACACUGAUAUUACUGCAUUAAUUGAUCUCGGUUCUACACAUUCAUAUACAUGUAUAAAGCUUGCAUGUGUUAAAGAUUUAUCUAUUGAACUUAUUAGAUUUGGGGUUAAAGUCUCGAAUCCCCUGGGUCAAUCUGUUUUGGUGGAUAAAAUUUGUAAAAAUAGUCCACUAAUGGUAAGAGGUUAUUGUUUUCUGGCUGAUUUGAUGUUACUACCAUUUGAUGAAUUUGAUUUGAUAUUGGGCAUGAACUGGCUAACCUAGCAUGAUUAUCAUUUAUUAAAAGCUUAGGGGAAAAAUGGUAAUAAACAUCUUACACUAAAACAGUUUUGGACAGCAGCAGUAAGCUAACUUUGAAAAAUCACCAUAAAUUUUGGAAAUCGAAUUAGAGGAUGAACAAAAUAUGGAAUUAAAGCUUAUUGAGUCAUGCCCAAUAUCACAUCAAAUUCGUCAAAUGGCAGUAACAUCAAAUCAGCUAGGAAAUGAUAACCUCUUACCAUCAGUGGACAAUUUUUACAAAUUUUAUCCAUCAAAACAGAUUGACCCAAGAGGUUCGAGACUUUAACCACAAAUUCAAUAAGUUCAAUAGAUAAAUCUUUAACACAUGCAAGCUUUAUACAUAUAUAUGAAUGUGUAGAACCGGGAUCAAUUAAUGUAGUAAUAUCAGUGUCAAGUAAAGAAAAUGUACCAGUAAUAACAUCGGGUGCUGAGGCAUCUUCUCUGGCACGAAUGACAUAUGUCAUACCAGGGCUCGUGCCUCAGGCCUGCCUACAGUAUCUUUCGUAGCUCAUCGGCUACCACUGACAUUACCGGAUGGUCGAGGUGGUCUACCCCUCGAAAUUGGAUUACUCGGCUUCGAUGUCUGUUCAGCUUCUUUUUCACCCCUUUCUGGACAAUCUCUGAGGAAAUGAUCAAAUGAACCGCAUCGGUAACAAACCCUACUUUUCAGUCGGCAUUCUCCAAAAUGAGUUUUAUUACAGUACUGGCAUCUCGGCUUAGGACUGUCGACACUACCCAUACUAGUCACAGACGAAAUGAGAGAUCUCGGGUUAGUGUGUUAGAAGCCUCGUUCUUUUCCAAAAUAUCCCGUCAUAGAAGUAGAUUGAUCAAAGUACUUCUUUAAUUUUUUUGUAACAGAAGAUGACUGAAAUUUUCCCAUCGGUCUUUUGCUGAAAACUCGAGCUUCCCUUUCAGCUUGUUUCUUCUCUUUACUCAAUUCAUCUAUUUUAUAAGCUCGCACAGCCAGUGUAGCAAACUCCAGGAUUUCAAGUAUUCCAAUCAGUAACUUGAUAUCUUCAUUCAGUCCCUCUUCAAACCGCUUGCACAUCUCGGCUUCUGAUUGUACCCAUUCCCGAGCAUAUUUCCUCAACCAAAUAAAUUCUCUUUUAUACUCAGAUACCGAUCUAUUGUCCUGUUUCAACUCAAGAAAUUCUUUUCUUUUCUGAUCAAGGAACCUCUGGUUGAUAUAUUUCUUUUUAAAUUCAUUCUGAAAGAACUCCCAGGUAAUCUAUUCUUUCGGAACUACCGAAGCUUUAGUGUUCCACCAAUGAUAAGCUGUGUCUUUUAGCAGUGAGACGACAUAUUUCAGACAUUCUUCUGGUGUGCAUGAUAAUUCCUUCAGGACCCAAGUAGUAUUUUCUAACCAAAACUCAGCCCGUUCGGGAUCAUCAUCAACUGCAGCUGUGAAUUCUUCUGCCCCAUAUUUUCUGAUUUUAUCAACCGGAGCUUUUCCUUUUCUGAUAGAUCCGGUACCUGUACCCUGUAGAAUCUCGAAAAUCGGUGGAGAAUGAGGAGCUUGAGCUUGCUGCAUUACAAGGUUAGUUCUCACAUAUUGGUUAAACCAUUCAUUCAUCAUUUGAAAGAAAGCCAUUUUAGCCUCUUCACUUUGGUCCCCUGUCUCGGACCUCCUACUACUAGUAGCUUCAAUUUCUCUUUGUUCCCUUUCCAAGGCCGGAGCAUAACUCUCGGCUUCCUCGGAUUGAGCUCAGUCGGUAGGUAUUUACUAAAAAAAUAUAUUUAAAUGGUUAGGAGAUAUCACAUUAUCAAUAAUAAUUUAAAUGACGUAUAUAGCUAAUCCCGUAUUUGCUAUGUCGGUCCGAGAAUCGACUAAAUCGUAGUUCUGAUACCAACAAAUGUAACACCCCUUACCUAUAUGCGUCACUGGAAUAGGGUACGAGGCAUUACCAGAGUUUUUCGAAUUAUUUUUUUCAUUAUUACGAGUUAAAUACUAUUCUUUUAUUGAAACAUAUUAUGACGUCCCUUAGAUGGGCCUCCAAAGCCCAAAACAUACAUCGAUAUCAAACCAAAUCAACCAAUCCAAUUCAACAUAUUUUCAAGAUAGAUUUACGCAUAUCUAUAAGAUAACCUCAUCACAUACCAAAACCAGGAUUUGAUAGCCAUACCAAUGGCUAACUUUACAUUCAUUUCACAUUAACAUUUACUUUAUCAACUUAUACACUCCAUUGAUUCCAAAAUAAAGUUUCUUGAUAUACCAAAAUGUUGAAGUUGAUAGUGAGAUGAUUCUCCGACCGAAUCCAUCCUCCGAGCUCUUAAUACUACGAAUUAGGGAAAAAAGAAACAGGGUAAGCAUGUUGUGUUAGUAAGCUCAUUAACAAGAAUUAUACUUACCUAAUAUUUUCAAUACAAUACAAUAAAUAUUCAUACAUCCAUUCAAUUUACCAUUUACCUAUCACACACAAACUCAACCAAAACAUUAAUCAAAUAGCAUCAUAUGAGUUCAAUACAAAGAUUAAUUAUUGAUGAGCUCAUCAAUUCCAUGUUUUUUUUUACCUUUAUUAUUCCUCAUAUUUAUCCCGUUGAAUU